GCGGCGGCCGGGGGAGCCGGGGUUUCCCCGCUACACUCCCUGCCGCGUCGGUGGUGGGCCCCGGGGCGGCCGGGCAGGGUCAGGCCGGGGGGGCGGCCGCCACCUCCGCCACGGCGCAGCCCCCGGGCCAGGCCCGCCGCCCCCUCGCAGGAGAAGCUGGGGGGCCAGGCAAGGAGCGGUCCCGGCCCGCAGCGGGAAGAAUGAACGUGACUGUCUCAGUUGUAGCCAGGACUAUCAGUUUCCUCGCUGAGAAGACAAGAGGGUUCCUGCUGUAUGUGUGUAUAUUCCAGUGACCUGCCCGACAGUAGACAUUGCAAAGUCAUCUGAGAGGACUUCUGUUCACCUGUCUGACGUCUCUCUGUAUGAAAGAUACUGGCUUAGAAUGGCAGUAUCAGUCAGCCACCGCCGUAGCAGCACUCUGAGCAGCACGAUUGAGGGGUUUAGAAAAACAUCUCAUCUAGAAAUCACACCUUUUGCAUAAAGGCUUUCAGACGACACUGCAUCUUACAGCUGUGUCUUCAGGAAGGACUGCUUCCACGUGGGAGUGAAGAUUAUUGCUCAAAGGGGAUCCCAGCUUCACAGCACUGCAGGCUGAAAUCUUUUCUACAUGGAAUACCUAACUGGAUCCGAAUUAAAAUAAGAUGGCUCUACCUAGAUCUUCCAUCACGGCUGUCUGUCUUGGAAGUAUAGACAUUUCUGAAAAUAAGCUGAAGGUCACAUCUGGAAGACGAGAAUGUAUUUCCCCACAGAAGAUAUUAAAGGCUUUAUGAUUAUGCCAGAGCACACAGUUAAGUACAUGGAACCAUUAAAGUUUGACAAGGCACCUGAUCUAGAUGAAUAACAUUCACAAAUUCCAGAAGAAUCAUUAAGGUCUGCAAGGUCAGAAAAAGAUGUGAAGUCCUACAUGGAAGCUGGGAACCGACUCUUGCGAAUAUUGUCAUGUGAAGCCAUACUUGCUCUCUCUGAAGGACUACGCGUUAUUGAACUUCACAGCUGUGGUGGUUUUGGGUAUAGGAGGGAUGCUGCAGAUGGAGAUGCAAAAGCUUCUUACAGCCUUUGUGCAGAAGUAAUUUCAAGGAAAGAAAUACGUACUUUAAUGAUUGCCAUUUUUAUAAGUUUUUAAGGUUGUUUGAAGCUGAGUCUCUGGCUUGGACUGCUAAGUAAAUCCCAGAUAAUGAGAAGUGGGCAGAAGAAAAUAUAUAUUUUGAGCUGAAAAUGCGGUUGGCAAUACCCGCAUGCUGAGCUGAUGUAUCCACAGGUUUAAAUUUUCUUCAGUGAACUUAUUCCAUAGCUCAUGUAAGUUUCAAAUAUACUUUAUUAAAAUUGCUGACCAGAAAAAAAAAUAGUUAAAAUAUCCCUUCUUUAUGGAAAAUUUAUCUCACAAUUACAACUGCUCAGGCAGUGUGCUUGCCCACUGCAUUGUCUUUACAUUUUAACAUGUUUAUUUAUAGCCAUACAAUUUUUAAAAGCACCCACAACAAACAACAUCAUGCUCCCCAGGCAAAUGCAUAAGAUGGGCUAGAAUCUUCAUUUGUUUGUGCUGUGCAUGCUCAUUUAGAUUAUGGUAAAGUGGGUAUAAAACACUACUGGAACACAAUGCAAAUGAUGUAUGCCUCUUUGCAAUGAGAUAAACGAUUAUAUGUGGUAUUAGAACUGUAAUUUUAUGCUUGUUAGUCAUCCAAUUUUGAUUAAGGGAUCAUUUAUUUUAAGAAUAAGUCUGCAUCACUGUUCGGGCUUUCUCUUUCUACAUCAAGUUGUAUGUUAAAGACUGGACAAAAAGCAACCCAAGACUAGGACAGCUGGGGCUGAUGCGGUGGAAAUGGCGCAGCACAGAGCCGAACACUUCUCUUCCCAGUAGAAGAGCUACAAAAUGGAACCGUUAGUCUCUGGCUUCAAAGGGAAUUUGGGUUUAAAGGUACUUGGGCCCUCAAGGUAAGCACUGGCAAUUUCCAUAUUGCUCAUAAAAUGCUAAUACAGACACAGAAUUUUUUUCUUCCAAAAACCAAAACCUUUUCAGAUUAAUUCCACAAUUGUACAUAUUAUGGGGGUUUUGAUAGCUCCUAAAGUAUUUCUACAGUUACACACAAAACAGAUACUCUUGUGUGAGCGUUAGGAGUAAAACCCAGAAAUUUUGGUUUUUCCUUUGUAGAUAAUUGAGUUCAGAUAAUACAGAGGAGUAAUUAUCGCUUCUAACAGGUAGGAUGGGUGACUCGGUGCCAGAAGGAAGCGAUUCUCAAAUGUGCCAUGAGUAGAGGAAUGUGAACCUGAGUGCUGCAUUCACUGCUAUUGGGAUUCAGGAAAAUCCUGCCGGAAUGAAGAUGUAGGGGGGGGUCUCCUCUGAGGCCUAUAUCCGAAUAUGUGUUCACUUCAUUUAUAAUGGACUAGCUGAUUCCUAGUGCUUCCUGGCCAUAAGCUUGUAUAUGCACCAGAAAUAAAGAA